AUGGAGGCAAGAUCAGGAGUUCGUGAUCACAGAGACACCAGCAGCAUCAACCCACAAUCUUGGGCCUCUGGAAUGUCAGUGACAAACUAGGUUCCAAGUAUAUAUAGGCAACACAAAGAGAGAACCAUUCUCUGCUUUCAAUAGGACAGAAGAGCUCCUUGGCACUGGAUGCCUCCGGGUCUGGUUGAGAGAGGAAUGGUUAGGAGACUGUUCUGAGGAUACGCAGACAUCAUCCAAAGCUUCCUACAUUCAGAUGAGGACAGAGGUUGGGCCAGAGCUUUGUAAGCUUGUUACCUAAGGAUGGUUCUGACCAUGUAAGCAGAUCACAGAAGCUGGAGGCAAAGGAUGCCAAGAUGGGAAAGCCACAUAAUGGAAGGAUCCUGGAUUUCAGAGCUGUCACUUGGAGGAGGGGCACCCAGUGAAGGUGUCUUAUCUAACCCACACCAUAUCUUCAUGAAGUGGCCAUAUGGAUUUGAUCCCUAUCCUUCAGAGGUGCUCAGCCUAAGGGAACACGGAUAGUAGAUUAAGCACUGACCAGAGCCAAGCUGGUGAGCCUGGAGGAGCUGGUGUAACUUCUCUUUGGUGCCUGACUUCCUUCUGACUCAAACACAGGAGAAAACCUAUCACACAAAAGAACUGAGAAACUUCCUGGGUUUGGGGGUGAGCUGGAGUCACUCAGUGUGAGCCAUUCACAACAACAACUCUUGAGCCAGCCUUGACAAUGUGCUGAUGGCAACCUAGAACAUAAGCAGAGGAGUAUACAGGACAAGAACUUGAUGGUCUCGGGAA
ensembl:lncRNA PROX1-AS1 PROX1 antisense RNA 1